rnacentral:rRNA from 1 species
UACGUAGGGUGCAAGCGUUAAUCGGAAUACUGGGCGUAAAGCGUGCGCAGGCGGCUUUGCAAGACAGAUGUGAAAUCCCCGGGCUUAACCUGGGAACUGCAUUUGUGACUGCAUGGCUGGAGUGCGGCAGAGGGGGAUGGAAUUCCGCGUGUAGCAGUGAAAUGCGUAGAUAUGCGGAGGAACACCGAUGGCGAAGGCAAUCCCCCUGGGCCUGCACUGACGCUCAUGCACGAAAGCGUGGGGAGCAAACAGG